GAACGGGUGAGUAACACGUGGGCAACCUGCCCGCAAGACCGGGAUAACUCCGGGAAACCGGGGCUAAUACCGGAUAGGCCUUUUCCCUGCAUGGGGAAAAGGGGAAAGGCGGCUUCGGCUGUCACUUGCGGAUGGGCCCGCGGCGCAUUAGCUGGUUGGUGAGGUAACGGCUCACCAAGGCGACGAUGCGUAGCCGACCUGAGAGGGUGAUCGGCCACACUGGGACUGAGACACGGCCCAGACUCC
rnacentral:rRNA from 1 species